GAGCAGCACUUCACAAAAUAAAAGUAUAAACUAAGUCUUAAAACAUUAAUCAUAAUCGAUUCAUACGAUUUAAAGCAUUUAUAUUGAUUAUUGGUGAAGCCAAAGCGAUUCAUUCUAUUAAUUUAUUUUAGCAGAUCGAUUUAGUUGAAUCGGUAGGACUGACAAUUGAUUCAUCGAUGCAUUGCAUGAAUCGUUACACCCCUAAUAAGCAAUGUUUGCUACAGUCCUCUAGGUAAGAGGCAGAUUUUCAAAACGGCUUGUAACGGCUAAUCACACUCGCACCUGGUGGUAUAAAGUGUCACAAAAGAGCAGGGCUUCAAAAAAGCACAACUUCGACAUAAAAAGUUUGUGUCGUGUGGAGGAAGGAUACAACCUUGUCGUUGAUCCGCUUUUAUGGCGGCCCUGAUCUGAAGCAAAGGCACACAGAUGUUGGUAAAAGAUCAUAGUUGGGCGGUUUCCUUGUGUUCUAGCACCUCCCAGUGCUAUACAAUGGUAUACAACAUGUCUCAUCAUUUUAAUUUAUACCUACCGUAUAUAUUUACGCAUUAUCACAUGAGAGGGAGCAGUGCUGUCGCUCUAUAGGGCUGAUAUAGAGCGACAACAUUGCGACCUGUUGUAUUUGCUUUUAUACAACAGUUAUACUAGUUAAAUGUACUGUUAACAAUAAUUAUUGACAAUAUAUUUUGAUUUGUUUGUUUAUUUGAUCAUAUAAACGAAUGAAUUUGCUUCUGCCAACAAAAAUAGAUCCCCACUGAGCGGACUGUUGCCAAGCAACAUAUAAACAAAUCACCAAGCAGUUUAAAGAUCCCAUGCCAUUAAAAUCACAUUUUUCCUAUUGUUUGUUAAAUAACAUAGGUCAGAAUAAGUUUGUGACCUGUGGUAAGUUUGAAAUCUAUGCAGUUUGCCUGCUGUAUGCAAUAGCCAAUGAAAGGAAAAAGGCAGAAGAAAUUAGCCAAUCUGGAUAAGCAGGCAGCAGGCAGCAGGCAGCGCGCGGUUCUGUCUACUACAGAUUGAUGUGGAAGUGGAAGAACCAGAGACGUCGGAGAACCCGACAAAGUCCUUUGUGAUUCAUUAUAUCGUCUGGAGGUGCAUACAGCUUUUGGCCGUGAUAAUAUGUAUUAUUUGAUAUAGAUAUCUAUGUAUUAUAUGAUAUUAUUUAGAUGUAGAGCUCCAGGACUGUAACGCAAGUGUUGUACAAUUCCUUGUUAUUUGGAUAACCGUUCUGCUGUUGGUGUUAUGGCGCAUAACACGUCGGACUCUCGUCUCUGGUAUUUCCACAACGAGACUCGUAGUGGGGGUUAUCUCAGCCAUGGUUGAGAAUGAAUUGGGCGAAAUGAACUUUGGCUUUGACUCCCUGAAGUAGGCAUGAACCACGACAUGGAGGAGAAAGGGAUUGUUGACCGCGGUCGUCUCCCGCCGGAGCCUCGCUGCCGAGGGACCUCGGCUGCAGGAGGCGUGAUUAGCGCUGACCGCUGCCGAGGCGGUGGUCCCUCGGCAGCGGGAAGCAGGGCUCAAGCGGGAUACAUUCGCGGCCAACAAUCCCUUUCUCCUCCAUGUCGUGGUUCAUGUACUUCAGGGAGUCAAAGCCAAAGUUCCUUUCCCCCAAUUCAUUCUCAACCAUGGCUCAGAUAACCCCCACUACGAGUCUCGUUGUAGAAAUAACAAGGAAGUGUACAACACUUGCGUUACAGUCCUGGAGCUCUAUAUCUAAAUAAUAUCAUAUAAUACAUAGAUAUCUAUCAAAUAAUACAUAUUAUCAAGGCCAAAAGCUGUGUGCACGUCCAGACGAUAUAAUGAAUCACAAAGGACUUCGUCGGGUUCUCCGACGUCUCUGGUUCUUCCACUUCCACAUCAAUCUAAAGUAGACGCCGUCGUUUGUGAUUCAUAAUAGCCUAUCGUCUGGAGGCUCACACAGCUUUUGGCCGUGAUAAUAUAUAUUAUAUGAUAUAGAUAUCUAUGUAUAAUAUGGGUUUCUAAGAGCCAUUGCCAUACAUCCACCGUAAACCGAGCGCAUGGUACCGUGGCUACAAGCUGCUCAGGGCCAGGUGAUAAUAUAUAUUAUAUAUUAUAUGAUAUAGAUAUCUAUGUAUAAUAUGGGUUUCUACGAGCCAUUGCGAUACAUCCACCGUAAACAGAGCGCAUGGUACCGUGGCUCUGCUCAGGGCCACACCCCCACCCCCCUCCUUGACCUGCCUUGAUACGCCCACCGAAACAGCGCAUUUGGGGGAAGCUCAAUGUGCGACUGGCUUGGAGUGGCUGUAACUCUGCACCACGGCUGAAUUUUGGGGACGUCUUUGAAUACUGUGUUUGUGGCCCUAUAUUAAAGCAUCCAUAAAAUAGCAUGGCAUGGGAUCUUUAAAGCCCACACCAUUUGCCUUAAGGUGUUGGCUUCAUUUUUGCUCCUCCAACCUGUCAAGCAGACGCUGACAUUGGGGCACAUCUGGAGUCUUGAUUGUGCAUCAAAUUAAAUGUUAUAUUUGGGAAUAUAUCCAUCUGUAGGCUACGGCGCAAAGCUGGUUCAGGUUCGGUCCAAGGUAACAGUUUAUGUCAGUUAAAGUAAGUUGGUUACAGCUGGAAUGCAGAGUGAUUUUGACAGUUGGUUUACAGUUUGGUGAACAGUCCGAGUGAUGUUGUGUUAAGUUGCAUGUUAACGACUGCACGUGGAAAGAAGGGGAGCUGUUCUUUGGGUGAAUAAUGGCGGCAGCCAUGGUUGUGCAUGUAAGCUAACGUACAGUAAAAGUUUAAACUCGAUCAACUCUCGUUGUGUUCAUUGAUUAACAUUGGUAGCAGAGGAUGGCAGCUACUGGGAAUUACAAAGUUCUGCCACCGUUUGACGAGAAGACAUCAUACGAAAGCUGGAAAAAUGAGAUCGCAAUAUGGAGACUCGUCACCGAACUGGAUGAAAAGAAGCAAGCCUUGGCAGUUACCUUGUCGCUAAAGGGGAGCGCCAAGGCUAGUGCUCUUGAAAUUGCUGCUGGCGACUUAAAUUCCGACCCGGGAAUGACGGCACUCGGGACUAAAUUGGACUUGGUGUUUUUGAAGGAAGACUAGGACCGGGGGGGAAGCGGUUCUUCAAUGGUGGAUUACAUCAUUGAAUUUGAAAAUCGCUACGACAAGCUCCGUAAGUUUAAAAUGGAACUUCCGGAUGCGGUGUUAGCCUUCAAGCUACUAGAUACUGCGGAACUUAAUGUGAAAGAUAAGCAGUUGGCGCCUUACAGCUUGCCCGACGUGAAAUCAGCCUUAAAAGUAAUUUUUGGCGAUAACGUUACACCACCACAAGAUGGCAGCAGUGCGUUGCGAAUGAGUGAAGAUGCUGCCUACUGCACGAGA